GCGGAUCUCCUCUAAUAACCCACUACUGUAGUAAAUGCAGAUGUAUCAUCAUCACCAUCAUCAAGGAAAGAACAUCCACCCCUCCUCAAGAGGGUCCAUUCUUCCAGAAAGGCAUUUGUUCCUGCAAUGGGGGAAUGGUGCAGGAGAUCCUGGACUUGUACCUUCGACCAAUACAAAGCCUAGACUGAAAUGGACACAAGACCUCCAUGAGCAGUUCAUAGAAGUAGUAAAUCAGCUUGGAGGAGCAGACAAAAUACAGGCUCAAUAAGAAUCUCCAUGGGCACUCUAAUAUUGGAACAAACAAAAUUGUGGCAAGAGAAAGGAUGUCUGAGGCAAAUGGAACUCA